GAUGAACGCUGGCGGCGUGCUUAACACACGCAAGUCGAACGAUGAAGCCCAGCUCGCCGGGUGGAUUAGUGGCGAACCGGUGACUAACCCGUGAGUAACAUGCCCUUGACAUUCGGAUAAGCCCGGGCAACUGGGUCUAACCCCGGAUACGAGUGUUCACUGCAUGGCAGGUGUCGGUAAGUUCUAUCUGCUUUUGAUGACCUCGCCGCCUCUCAGCUCUUUGGUGAGCACAGGGGUCACAAAGGCGACGACGGGUACGCGUCCCGAGAGGGUGACCGAUCACACUGGGACUGCGGCACGGCCCAGACUCCGUCGGGAGGCAGCAGUGGAGAAUAUUGCACAAUGGGCGCAAGCCUGAUGCAGCGCCGCCGCGUGAGGGAUGACGGCCUUCGGGUUGUAAACCUCUUUCAGUAGGGAAGAAGCGAAAGUGACGGUACCUGCAGAAGAAGCACCGGCUAACUACGUG
rnacentral:rRNA from 1 species